UUCAGAUUGUUACCAUAAAGCACCAAUGCUGCAGCAAGCAAAGGCUCUAGCAGCUCAGCCAGCUGCUUGUGGCUGGAAAGCCAGACAGGAUGUUUGUGACUGUUGCCAUGGGAACAAAGGGGCAGUCCAUUCUGUACUGAGCACCGGAUGUUAGCUCAGUGUGUGUGUGUCAUAUGACCCGUACUGGAUGUACUUGGGAGGAGUUUCUUCUUGCUGUUGUUGAGUGCAGACAUGAUUCUCUGUACUGAUGUAAGAGGCAGAAAUAAAUGAUGUAAAUAGUUUUCUGUCUGCUUCUUUCCCCUCCUGGGGACACCAAAGGGAGAGAGGAAGAACGGUGUGUUCCUCUCAUACAUCUGAGAAGAAUCGCCGGACCUCGCCUGCUUAUCAGCAGAGUGGAGACGCGGGGAGGUCGACAGGAAUAUCUGCCGGUGCCUACGCUGUGGCACAUUCCUCUGACCCAGGCAGAAUUCCAACAGUGGUAGCAGAGGAUGGUUGCGAUUCAUCGGACAUCUGCAUGAGAGGCUGGUGGCUUGUCCUCCACUGCUCCAAGGAGGAAUAGAAGCGUCUGAAAGAAGCCAGAGGCUCCACAGACAGCUGAUGGAAAGAAGAGGUGUUUUCCAGAGCAACAAAGUUCAAGGUAUGCUGCAUUUCGGGCUAAAAGUGUGAACGCAGGAAGAUUAAUUCCCUGGUUCACGGAGCUGCGUUUCAAAGAAAACAAAAGCUCCGAGAGGAAGAGGCCUGCAGCUUGAAGGCUGAAGCCUGCAUUCCACAAAUUUUUGUGGUAGAUAAGAGUCCCAUUGAAAUGCAUUGUUGCUAGGCAACGGUCCUGGAAAGUUACUGGCAAGGGGCUGGACUCUGAGUGUAAGCCUGGGAAAGCGAAACAAAACCAGAGAAUGUUUUGGCUACAAGGUUUACGAGCUCUUGGAAGGGACUUUUCAAUAGCAGCCUGCGUUUAGCUGCCAGGUGCAAAGAGCGUAAACAAUUUGCAGUUUGCUGCGUGAGAAAGAAAAAAACAGCUGUUGGAUUUUGCAGCUUGUUUGGAGGUGAGAGAGGCUUGGCUUCAAGAUGGAUGCCAAGAAAGGGGAGGUUUGCCUUGCCCACCUCCCUUAACCAAUGACAAUUAUUCAUCUUGGUCUGUAAAGAUGAAGGCCCUGCUGCAGAAUCAGAGGCUUUUGAUGUAAUUGAAAACCCCAUCCCUGCAGCACCAACCAGAGGUUGGGAGUCACAGAAUGUAAGGGCCAGGACUGCUAUAAUUCUGUGUGUCUCAGAUGAUCAGUUGGUGCAUGUUCAGCAUUUAGAAAAUGCGAAAGAGGUAUGGGACACGCUGCGUACAACGCAUCAGAGAGAUGCUGGUUCUUCAGCGUUGCUGUAUUUUGAGAAAUUGACCAAUCUGAGACUUGCGCCUGAUGGAGAUGUUCAAGCGCACCUGACAGAAAUGAAGUUUCUGCGUCAACAGAUGGUGGAACGCAAUUUCCGUCUUCAGGAGGAAGUGUUUUGCUUCAUGAUGAUAAACAGCCUUAGCCGCACCUACAAGGUUGUUGCCAGUCAGCUUGGUUCCCUACCGGCCGCGCAGCUGACCGCGGAGAGAGUUUGUGCUGUGGUCCUGAAUGAACACGACAGACUUGCUGCACUGGAAGAAAAAGACAGGGGAGGGAAGAACAGAGUUCUAAUUCCCCACUGCUGAUGCUACUGGAGAGCAUGCUGUAGAAUUGAUAGCUGUCCGAUGCUACAAUUGUGGACAGACUGGGCAUCUACAGCGAAACUGUAAGAAGCCGCGCCAGUCAAGAGGAGCAAAGAGCAGCUCUACGAAGCCUCAGGCGUCAGGCAAAAGCCGUUCCAAGUGCCAGGUGAAACCUGCAAAGGCUAUGAUGGCGAAAGGAACCACGCCAGAUGUUGGGAACUCGUUCAUAAUUGACACGGGCGCAACGGUUCACAUGUGCCCGCACAGAGGACUGUUUUCGACGUUGAAGAAGCAAAGCUUCACUGUGAAACAGGCCAACGGUCAGGAGUUGGAAGCAACUGGAAUUGGGACUGUGUAUCUUGAGAGUCUGAACUUGACUAUAAGUGAUGUUUACCUGGUUCCAGAACUGAGAUUUAAUCUGCUGAGCGUGUCGCAGAUUGCAAAGAAAGGACUGAAACUGUCCUAUGAUGCUAAAAGCUGCAAGAUCUACAAAGAUGGAGAACUGUUUCUUACUGCCAAAGAGAAAGAUGGACUGUAUUUGUUGACUUUUGAUCAAAGUGAUUACAUGAAAUGUAAUUCUUCUGUUUCUAACGAAAUCUCUCUUGCAGGUGUGACCAGUGUGAGCACCAGGAAGGUGACUAAGACCAAGAAGGUCGACAGAGCAUUUCAGCGGGUGUAUGCUGAUGUGAUUGGUCCUCUAGAACCAUCUAGAGGCGGUGCACGAUAUUACCUUGUGUGUGUGGAUUGUUUCACUAAUUAUUCUUGGGUUUAUAUGAUGGAGAAACCGCAAGAAACUUUAGAAAAGUUUCAGGAGUUUUGUGACAAGGUUAAAAGUAUGCAUGAUGCUAACAUUGAUUGUCUUUUCACAGAUGAGAAGCAAAUUUUUCUGUUACAGAAGUUUCAGAAGUUCCUGGAUGGAAAAGGGAUAGACCACAAAGUGGCAGUUUCGCAAGAAGCGUGGAACAGGGGGGUCUGUGUAAAAGUGAACAAAGAAUUGCAAAAGGGGAUGAAUGCGCAAUUGCUGAGUUCACAUUUGCCACAUGAAUAUUGGGCUGAAUCGCGAGCGUCCUAUCUUCAUGUGUGGUUGAGAAAGGUCUCAACAGAGUUGGGAUGUUCUCCUUUUGAGAAGCUGUUCAAUAGAAAACCUUCUGUUGCCUAUUUUAAGGUUUUCGGGUCUCAUGUGAGAACAGAAGCUCCAGGUGGUGUAAAGAAUGCCAGAGGCAUUUUUGUGGAGUUAUGAAAAAGGUCUCUACAGAGUAAUUUUGUCUGAAUCUGGUCAGGUGAUUCUCACAAAGUUCCUAGAGAGUGCUCCAAAGCAAGAGCGGAUAGUACAGACAUUUCCCACAGGAAACGAUUCUGAUGAUGAUGAUGAUGAGUUUGAUCUUAUUGAGUUCAGUAGUACUGAUGAUGACAGCGAUAGCUCAGACAGCUCAGUUGUCACAGUCAUUGAGAGGAAAUCUCACACAAUGGAUAGACCUUCACAGGUGAAGGAAGAACCACUGAUUGCUACUGGUUCUCAACAGAGUCCAAAGGUUGAACCAGUGAGCACAGAAGAUCAGAACCUCAUACGCAGGUCUGAGAGAGUUACAAAGGGUGUACCACCAAAGAGGUACUCAAAAGAGUUUGCUAACUUAGCUGUUGCAUGUGUUGCUAUUGUUAACAACUCAAAGCAGGUUGAAGCAGUGUCUACGUCAGAGACAAAGACACAACAGAGGGUAGCUAGCCAAGGUAAUGCAGAAGCACUCAUUCCUUGGAAGCCAGACAACCAGAGAGGUACAUUGGUUAAACCAGUGGCGGGUAGUUCCAAGGGUGGAACUGAAACAACAGGGAAUGUUAUAAAUAUAACAACUGUUUGUUUUCUUCUCUGGAUGACGCUUUGCUCGCGGCACACAUUGAUACUUUAGGGGAGUAUGUUACCAUAAAGCACCAAUGCUGCAGCAAGCAAAGGCUCUAGCAGCUCAGCCAGCUGCUUGUGGCUGGAAAGCCAGACAGGAUGUUUGUGACUGUUGCCAUGGGAACAAAGGGGCAGUCCAUUCUGUACUGAGCACCGGAUGUUAGCUCAGUGUGUGUGUGUCAUAUGACCCGUACUGGAUGUACUUGGGAGGAGUUUCUUCUUGCUGUUGUUGAGUGCAGACAUGAUUCUCUGUACUGAUGUAAGAGGCAGAAAUAAAUGAUGUAAAUAGUUUUCUGUCUGCUUCUUUACCCAACCUGGGGACACCAAAGGGGAGAGAGGAAGAACGGUGUGUUCCUCUCAUACAUCUGAGAAGAAUCGCCGGACCUCGCCUGCUUAUCAGCAGAGUGGAGACGCGGGGAGGUCGACAGGAAUAUCUGCCGGUGCCUACGCUGUGGCACAUUCCUCUGACCCAGGCAGAAUUCCAGAGAAUGUUUUGGCUACAAGGUUUACGAGCUCUUGGAAGGGACUUUUCAAUAGCAGCCUGAGUUUAGCUGCCAGGUGCAAAGAGCGUAAACAAUUUGCAGUUUGCUGCGUGAGAAAGAAAAAAACAGCUAUU